GUCAGGACACAGCAUGGACAUGAGGGCCCCUGCUCAGCUCCUGGGCUUUCUGCUGCUCUGGCUCCCAGGUGCCAAAUGUGCUGCCCAGGUAACUCAGAGUCCAUCCGAGGUGUCUGCAAAUGUGGGAGACACAGUCACUAUCAAUUGCCAGUCAAGUGAGAGUGUUUACAACAACGUCAAUGUACAAUGGUUUCAGCAGAAAUCAGGGCAACGUCCAAAGCUCCUGAUCUACUGGGCAUCCCGUUUAGCAUCUGGGAUCCCCUCAAGGUUCAAGGGCAGUGGAUCUGGGAAAUCAUUCACUCUCACCAUCAACCCGAUGCAGGCUGAGGAUGCAGGAACCUACUACUGUCAAGGGGAAUAUGGUGCUAGUGGUAGUUACACUCACACAGUGAUACAAGCCUGAACAAAAACCACCCAGGAAAGCAGAAGUAUG